GACGAACGCUGGCGGCGUGCUUAACACAUGCAAGUCGAACGGAAAGGCCCUGCUUUUGUGGGGUGCUCGAGUGGCGAACGGGUGAGUAACACGUGAGUAACCUGCCCUUGACUUUGGGAUAACUUCAGGAAACUGGGGCUAAUACCGGAUAGGAGCUCCUGCUGCAUGGUGGGGGUUGGAAAGUUUCGGCGGUUGGGGAUGGACUCGCGGCUUAUCAGCUUGUUGGUGGGGUAGUGGCUUACCAAGGCUUUGACGGGUAGCCGGCCUGAGAGGGUGACCGGCCACAUUGGGACUGAGAUACGGCGCAGACUCCUACGGUAGGCAGCAGUGGGGAAUAUUGCACAAUGGGCGGAAGCCUGAUGCAGCAACGCCGCGUGCGGGAUGACGGCCUUCGGGCUGUAAACCGCUUUCGCCUGUGACGAAGCGUGAGUGACGGUAAUGGGUAAAGAAGCACCGGCUAACUACGUG
rnacentral:rRNA from 1 species